GAAGAACAAACACCAUUGUAAAUACAACCCAUAUUUAUGCUUAUUUAUUUUAUCUUGUGUCCUUUAUCCAUUUGUACAUUGUUAAAACACUGUCUAUAUACAAUGUGACAUUUGUAAUGUCUUUAUUGUUUUGAAACUCCUGUAUGUGUAAUGUUUACUGUUAAUUUUUAUUGUUUAUUUCACUUUUGCAUAUUAUCUACCUCACUUGCUUUGGCAAUGUUAACACAUGUUUCCCAUGCCAAUAAAGACCCUUGAUUAGGGAGUGAGUGAGAGAGAGAAAGAGAUAGGGAGGGAGAGAGAGGGGGGAAAGAGCAAGAAAGAGAGAGAUGGAAAGAGAGGGUGUGUGUUCUCUCUCCUCUUUUCUUCUGCUACUUGGCCCCCGAUCCCUCUCACAGUUACACUUUUAUUUUUUAUUUCUUUCCAAUGUCUCUCUUUUUCGCCAUUUGUCCAUUCCUCUACGUCCCUCUCUCUCUCUCCAUUUCUCCUGUCAGUCUGAAGAGAGAAGUGUGUGUGUGUGUGUGUGUGUGUGUGUGUGUGUGUGUGUGUGUAGAUAUCGGCAUAAGUGGGCAGUUAGGGGAGCUUGGAGUGACCCCAGAUCUCGAGGUCAGCCUCUGUCAUGUGUAAUUGUGUGACCAGUCAGAAACCAGGGAACGCCAGGAAAAGCCAAGGAACACCAGGAAAUGACAGGGAAUGCCAGGGAACACCAGGGAAUGUCAGGGUCCUCCGGGAACACCAGGAAAAGCCAGGGAAUGACAGGGAAUGACAGGGAAUGCCAGGGAACACCAGGGAAUAUCAGGGACCUCCAGGGAACACCAGGGAAUGUCAGGGAAGGACAGAGAAUGCAAGGAAACACCAGGGAAUGUCAGGGAUCUCCAGGGAACACCAGGGAAUGUCAGGGAAUGACAGAGAAUGCAAGGAAACACCAGGGAAUGUCAGGGAACUCCAGGGAACACCAGGGAAUGUCAGGGAAUUCCAGAGAAUGCAAGGAAACACCAGGGAAUGUCAGGGAACUCCAGGGAACACCAGGGAAUGUCAGGGAAUGCCAGGGAAUGCCAUGGAACACCAGGAAAAGUCAGGUAAUACCGGGGAAUGUCAGGGAAUGCCAGGGAAUGACAGAGAACGCAAGGAAACACCAGGGAAUGCCAGAGAACACCAGGAAAAGCCAGGGAACGCCAGGGAAUUUCAGGGAACGCCGUGAAAAGGCAGGAACGCUGUGCUUUGCUGGUACGUGCUCCACACAGGGGACAGAGCACUAAUUAACAUUCCUAGAAACUGGCCCUUUCAUAUUUUCUCAAAGAGACAGAACAAGUAACGAUCACUCACAGGUACUCAGAUGACUGCCUGUGUUCCAUUCCAGUCUUAGGAGUAGUGUUUUCCCUGCUAGUACGUAGGUUCCUUCCCACCUAGCUAGCCUCCUUUGCACCCUUUGCUAAAACAGCUGGAGUCCAAUUGUUCUCAUUGAAUUGCAUUUUUGGGGGGGAUGUUGGCAGCAUUUGCUGUUGAUUUAGAGAUCAUUACAUCUCACCUAAAAAGAAAACCAAGGGGAAUACACUGAAUCAUUUUCAAUGAGACUUUAAUAAAACAUUCAGUUUCCUUCUCUCUGUAGUCCCUCUUCAGAUGUUUUAAUUGGUCUGAUCUGGUAUAAGUUCUGGAAUCAGCUGUGUUAGAGCCGUACAGUGAGGAGGGUGUUAGUACUGACAGUGAGGUGGGUGUUAGGACUGGACAGUGAGGAGGGUGUUAGGACUGAGAGUGAGGAGGAUGUUAGGACUGGACAGUGAGGAGGGUUUUAGGACUGGACAGUGAGGAGGGUGUUAGGACUGAGAGUGAGGAGGGUGUUAGGACUGGACAGUGAGGAGGGUGUUAGUACUGGACAGUGAGGAGGGUGUUAGGACUGGACAGUGAGGAGGGUUUUAGGACUGNNNNNNNNNNUUUGACUUGGCCAUUCUAACACCUGGAUAUGUUUAUUUUUGAACCAUUCCAUUGUAGAUUUUGCUUUAUGUUUUGGAUCAUUGUCUUGUUGGAAGACAAAUCUCCGUCCCAGUCUCAGGUCUUUUGCAGACUCCAUCAGGUUUUCUUCCAGAAUGGUCCUGUAUUUGGCUCCAUCCAUCUUCCCAUCAAUUUUAACCAUCUUCCCUGUCCCUGCUGAAGAAAAGCAGGCCCAAACCAUGAUGCUGCCACUACCAUGUUUGACAGUGGGGAUGGUGUGUUCAGGGUGAUGAGCUGUGUUGCUUUUACGCCAAACAUAACGUUUUGCAUUGUUGACAAAAAGUUCAAUUUUGGUUUCAUCUGACCAGAGCACCUUCUUUCACAUGUUUGGUGUGUCUCCCAGGUGGCUUGUGGCAAACUUUAAACAACACUUUUUAUGGAUAUCUUUAAGAAAUGGCUUUCUUCUUGCCACUCUUCCAUAAAGGCCAGAUUUGUGCAAUAUACGACUGAUUGUUGUCCUAUGGACAGAGUCUCCCACCUUAGCUGUAGAUCUCUGCAGUUCAUCCAGAGUGAUCAUGGGCCUCUUGGCUGCAUCUCUGAUCAGUCUUCUCCUUGUAUGAGCUGAAAGUUUAGAGGGACGGCCAGGUCAUGGUAGAUUUGCAGUGGUCUGAUACUACUUCCAUUUCAAUAUUAUCGCUUGCACAGUGCUCCUUGGGAUGUUUAAAGCUUGGGAAAUCUUUUUGUAUCCAAAUCCGGCUUUAAACUUCUUCACAACAGUAUCUCGGACCUGCCUGGUGUGUUCCCUGUUCUUCAUGAUGCUCUCUGCGCUUUUAACGGACCUCUGAGACUAUCACAGUGCAGGUGCAUUUAUACGGAGACUUGAUUACACACAGGUGGAUUGUAUUUAUCAUCAUUAGUCAUUUAGGUCAACAUUGGAUCAUUCAAAGAUCCUCACUGAACCUCUGGAGAGAGUUUGCUGCACUGAAAGUAAAGGGGCUGAAUAAUUUUGCACGCCCAAUUUUUCAGUUUUUGAUUUGUUAAAAAAGUUUGUAAUAUCCAAUAAAUGUCGUUCCACUUCAUGAUUGUGUCCCACUUGUUGUUGAUUCUUCACAAAAAAAUACAGUUUUAUAUCUUUAUGUUUGAAGCCUGAAAUGUGGCAAAAGGUCGCAAAGUUCAAGGGGGCCGAAUACUUUCGCAAGGCACUGUAUCUGUUGUGUUGUCUCUUGUCUUCAGGCUAGGGAAGAGAGGGAUAUUAGUGGUCCUGAUAUCUGUUGUGUUGUCUCUUGUCUUCAGGCUAGGGAAGAGAGGGAUAUUAGUGGUCCUGAUAUCUGUUGUGUUGUCUCUUGUCUUCAGGCUAGGGAAGAGAGGGAUAUCAGUGGUCCUGCUAUCGGUGGCUGUAGGGGUCUACCUCCUCCCCUCACCCAUAAACCCUCAGCCUUACAUGUAAGUACAGACACACCACACCGGCUCUGAUGCUCGUCGGCUUGCAAACUAAUACUCACGUCCGUAGCCAUGAAGUGCUUUGAAAGGCUGGUCAUGGCUCACAUCAACACCAUCAUCCCAGAAACACUAGAGCCACCCUCAUUUGCAUACCGCCCCGACAGAUCCACAGAUGAUGCAAUCUCUAUUGCACUCCACCCUGCUCUUUCCCACCUGGACAAAAGGAACACCUGUGUGAGAAUGCUGUUCAUUGACUACAGCUCAGCGUUCAACACCAUAGCGCCCUCAAAGCUCAUCACUAAGCUAAGGACCCUGGGACUAAACACCUCCCUCUGCAACUGGAUCCUGGACUUCCUGACGGGCCGCCCCUAGGUGGUAAGGGUAGUUAACAACACAUCCGCCACGCUGAUCCUCAACACGGGGGCCCCUCAGGGGUGCGUGCUCAGUCCCCUCCUGUACUCCCUGUUCACUCAUGACUGCACUGCCAGGCACGACUCCUACACCAUCAUUAAGUUUGCUGAUGACACAACGGUGGUAGGCCUGAUCACCGACAACGAUGAGACAGACUAUAGGGAGGAGAUCAGAGACCUGGCUGUGUGGUGCCAGGACAACAACCUCUCCCUCAACGUGAUCAAGACAAAGGAGAUGAUUGUGGACUACAGGAAAAGGAGGACCGAGCACACCCCCAUUCUCAUCGACGGGGCUGUAGUGGAGCAGGUUGAGAGCUUCAAGUUCCUUGAUGUCCACAUCACCAACAAACUAUCAUGGUCCAAACACACCAUGACAGUCGUGAAGCGGGCACGACAAAACUUAUUCCCCCUCAGGAAACUGAAAAGAUUUGGCAUGGGUCCUGAGAUCCUCAAAAGGUUCUACAGCUGCACCAUUGAGAGUUGCAUCACCGCCAGNNNNNNNNNNNNNNNNNNNNNNNNNNNNNNNNNNNNNNNNNNNNNNNNNNNNNNNNNNNNNNNNNNNNNNNNNNNNNNNNNNNNNNNNNNNNNNNNNNNNCAUAGUGCACUACUUAGCCUAAAUCCACAUCGAUGUACGGCUUUUAUUAUGAGGUCAAGGUCUGAAGAAAAAUAUGAUUCCGAAAAGAAAUUCGGACAAAGCAGUUCAGGAUGAGUAAUGUUGACGGUUACAUCGUAAUAGCUCAUUGUGAACAGAAAUGAAGGCAACUGAAUGAAAUAGAAAGUUCAUCAAAAAAUAUGGGACGCAGGACUGGAUACCGAGCUACGACAUUUAAAAAAAACUGACUCUGCCCCCAAAAGCUCUCCUAACCCUACUGGCGCACGUACAAUACAGCAGAUACGCUAACGACUGGGGAAGACAGAGCAGAAAAGACUGCUGCUUCAGCUCAUGCGUAAAACUGCUUGUGUUACCAAAACAUAACUAGCCCUGCGGUUCACCAGCCGCCAUUGAAAGCCGCCUUUUACCCACUGAAACACUGGUGGGAACAAGAUG
rnacentral:lncRNA from 13 species